rnacentral:rRNA from 1 species
UACGUAGGGUCCAAGCGUUGUCCGGAGUUACUGGGCGUAAAGCGCGCGCAGGUGGUCCACUAAGCCCGGCGUGAAAGCCCCCGGCUCAACCGGGGAGGGUCGUCGGGGACUGGUGGACUUGAGGGUGGCAGGGGCUGGUGGAAUUCCCGGUGUAGUGGUGAAAUGCGUAGAGAUCGGGAGGAACACCCGUGGCGAAGGCGGCCAGCUGGGCCAACCCUGACACUGAGGCGCGAAGGCGUGGGGAGCGAACAGG